rnacentral:lncRNA from 1 species
UUGAUUAUUGGUUAUACAGUUGUAUAUCUUUGGCCGUAGUGCAAAGAUGAAUAUAUUAGUAUGAUUAUGAGCAGGAAUUGUGAUUUGGUAUAACCAUGAUUUUUGAUGUUUUAGGUGAAGAUAGGUGAUGUAAAUUAUCUUCGUCCUGGGUGCGAAAAGGAACUCAGAAUAAUAAUUAUGAUUACGAGUUAUUCAUAUGAUUGUGGAUAGGAAUUAUUGAUUGAUGUUACAGGGAUAAAACAUUAUUGGUGGACUUUUAACAUGGAGGAGAUAAUAGACCUGAUGGUCUAUUUGACUCUUCUAAUGGAUUGCUCGUUC